GAUGAAGAACGCAGCGAAAUGCGAUACGUAAUGUGAAUUGCAGAAUUCAGUGAAUCAUCGAGUCUUUGAACGCACAUUGCGCCCCCUGGUAUUCCGGGGGGCAUGCCUGUCCGAGCGUCAUUGCUGCCCUCAAGCACGACUUGUGUGUUGGGCCUCCGUCCUCCUCCCGGGGGACGGGCCCGAAAGGCAGCGGCGGCACCGCGUCCGGUCCUCGAGCGUAUGGGGCUUCGUCACCCGCUCUUGUAGGCCCGGCCGGCGCUUGCCGACACAUCAAUCUUUUUUCCAGGUUGACCUCGGAUCAGGUAGGGAUACCCGCUGAACUUAAGCAUAUCAAUAAGCGGAGGA
rnacentral:misc_RNA from 1 species